CAUUCGAAGUACUUGUAGCUACAGUGUUUACAGUUUUUAUAGUUCUUAGGUAGAAUCCUUUGUUUUUCGGAUUGUUCAAUUAGGAAAUAGUAAAACUUCAAGUGAAAACAUCGAAGUGUCAUUGCGGAAUUCAUAUACACUCACACGCACACACACACAAAAUUUUCUUCUUAAUACUUAAUGAUAAAAGUAUGUGCAGUUUAUUAUCUUUGUGAAAUUUUUUUGAAAUGGCGUGUCUAACCUCAUCACUCAUAAGAUCAACGCGUUUGCUUUGAUUAAUGAUUCUGAUUAUGUUAAAGCUUACACAUCACAUAUAUAGAAUGGUCUUAUCUUUGAGAUAUUAUCUAUAAUAAAAGGUAGUAACAAUGGAUGCUUUAUUCCAAACCCAAAAUAUCGUCGAUGAGGCAGAAGAUAUACCACAAACCGAUGACCCAGUCUGGAUUCUUGGCAGAAAAUACAACACUCUUAAAGAACUCGAUGCGAUACGUAGAGACAUUCGAUCCAAACUGUGGUUUACAUAUCGCAAAGGCUUUGUUCCUAUUGGCGGCUGCAGUUCUACAUUUACGUCUGACAAAGGCUGGGGUUGUAUGUUGAGAUGUGGACAAAUGGUUCUUGGCCAAGCCUUAAUUACUUUACACUUAGGUAAAGAUUGGCAGUGGGUUCCAGAAUCAAAGAAUAGUACAUAUUUAAAGAUUUUAAAGCGCUUCGAAGAUAAUAGGGCUGCUGCAUUUUCCAUUCAUCAAAUUGCAUUGAUGGGAGCGUCUGAAGGAAAGGAAGUUGGACAAUGGUUUGGUCCUAACACCAUUGCGCAAGUAUUAAAAAAAUUAGUCGUGUAUGACGAAUGGAGCUCCCUUACUAUACACGUUGCGCUAGACAAUACUCUAGUAAUUAAUGACAUUUUGAGACAAUGUAAUGUAGAGGGCGGCGUGACAGCGGAAGCAGAUGGAGAGACACCUUUGAAAGCACCUAGCCAAUGGAAGCCUUUGCUAUUGCUAAUCCCACUCCGUCUUGGGCUCAGUGAGAUUAAUCCUGUGUAUAUUAAUGGACUUAAGGCAGCAUUUAAGAUUUCGCAAUCCUUGGGUGUGAUUGGAGGAAAACCCAAUCUGGCCUUGUAUUUCAUAGGAUGCGUGGGAGACGAAGUUAUUUUCUUGGAUCCCCAUACCACGCAAAGAUCAGGCAGUGUUGAAAAUAAAAUUUACGAAGAAGAAAUUGAGAUGGAUGCUACGUACCACUGCAAAUUAGCUAGUCGUAUUCCUAUCACGGGAAUGGAUCCUUCUGUGGCUCUUUGCUUCUUUUGUGCUACGGAAAUGGAAUUCAGAUCUUUAUGUAAAUCAAUGGAAGAGGAAUUAACACUGCCCGAGAAGCAACCGUUAUUUGAACUCUGCACAGAGCGCUUACCGCACUACUGGUCACCUGCGGAAGAUGUUGCUUCCGAGGCAAUAGCAGCUUCUAAUUAAAAGUAUUACCGACUGUGAGUCGAUGAAAUCAUCCAUGCAUUUACGGGCCUCUUCCACAUUUUUAAAGCGUGUGUAUCCGGCCAGAUAGUGUUGGAGCGAUCGGAAUAGAUGAUAAUCCAAAGGAAUUAGAUCCGGUGAAUAAGCCACAUGAGAGGGAAUUUUCCAGCCCAACGAAUAGAUAGCCUUCGUUUUGUGGCGUUAUCGUGCUGCAAGGAUUGCCGUGACAAAACCUGAAAGUAAUAAUUAUCACGAUCUCGUCCGAAAAGGAGCAUCUGAGGCACUGUAUCCUUUUUGCGUUCCAGUUGAAUAAAAAUGCUGCUCAGGCUACCAAAAUGAUUUGUUCCGCUUUGGAUAAUUGGAAGUUGUAGAUUUUGAACGCAUUGAACGUCAGUACGAUACAUCUGAUGAAGACUUCGAACUGCUUGGUUGACGACUAUCUGAUCCACCUAGUGCCGUGGCGACGUGGGAAACGACAGUUGAAUAUUACAAUGGUGUUCUCUUUGAAAUAAUUUGUAUUUCUAAUUAUAAUAAUAAAUUUAUUAAUGGUGCAAAGUAA